rnacentral:tRNA from 1 species
GCCUGGUUGGCUAAGUCAGUAGAGCAUGAGACUCUCAAUCUCGGAGUCAUAAGUUCAAGCCUCACAUUGGGUG